GCCCGGCUAGCUCAAUCGGUAGAGCGUGAGACUCUUAAGUCCCAGUGCAUCUCAAGGUUGUGGGUUCGACCCCCACGUCGGGCU
rfam:Myceliophthora thermophila ATCC 42464 chromosome 5, complete sequence.